rnacentral:rRNA from 1 species
GACGAACGCUGGCGGCGCGCCUAACACAUGCAAGUCGAACGAGCGAGAGGGAGCUUGCUUCCUCAAUCGAGUGGCGAACGGGUGAGUAACGCGUGAGGAACCUGCCUCAAAGAGGGGGACAACAGUUGGAAACGACUGCUAAUACCGCAUAAGCCCACGACCCGGCAUCGGGUUGAGGGAAAAGGAGCAAUCCGCUUUGAGAUGGCCUCGCGUCCGAUUAGCUAGUUGGUGAGGUAAUGGCCCACCAAGGCAACGAUCGGUAGCCGGACUGAGAGGUUGAACGGCCACAUUGGGACUGAGACACGGCCCAGACUCCUACGGGAGGCAGCAGUGGGGAAUAUUGCACAAUGGGGGAAACCCUGAUGCAGCGACGCCGCGUGGAGGAAGAAGGUCUUCGGAUUGUAAACUCCUGUU